AAGCUCCGACUUAAUGCAUAUGAAUGUACAUGGCAUACACGACUUUAAACUGUCAACAACAUAAUAAUAAUAUCAACACAACAACGUUUUCAACAAAAAUCAACUUAUAAUCAACUUUGGCUCAUCAAGCCUCCAACUCAGUAUUUUCAACAACUUUAACACAACUGAUCCACAUAUUUGGAUCAACAUUUCAUAACAUAAACCCAACAAAAUUAUUCCUCACAAUCAACUAAA
rnacentral:lncRNA from 1 species